UUCAUACUCCCUCCGUUCGGAAUUACUUGUCGCAGAAACGGAUGUAUCUAGACGUAUUUUAAUUCUAGAUACAUCCAUUUCCGAGACAAGUAAUUCCAAACGGAGAGAGUACAUA
rfam:Triticum aestivum genome assembly, contig: Triticum_aestivum_CS42_TGACv1_scaffold_570644_7AS